rnacentral:misc_RNA from 1 species
UAAUAAGAUGUUUUAUGGCACUUUUAAAUCCAUAUCCACCUUGUGUGCAAUGGGCAGUCGAGGCUUCCGGCUGGAGAUCGACCAACACAACCUUAUUUUGAAAACAAGCAUUAUCUGAAAAUAUCUGAAUAAACAUUCAAAUGUCA